UUCAUCCUGUUUCGUUGGAAACCCAGUAAUAAACACUGCAAAAAAAAAAACGAUAACCCAACCAUUUUCAUCAUCUAUGUACUCUCCUCUCAAUGGCACUAUACCAGCUUUUCUCAAAGAGGUCGAAACCCACCAGCAACCAUCCCUUCACUACCCUAUAAACAAAACAAGACCAGAUGAUGAGUAGGAACCAGAAACCUAGAAAAAUUCAAAAGAACAGAAGCCCAAUCGGUUGAAGAACACGGUCACAUCUUUGACUAGCAAUCCCACAAAUUAUUAUCGCCCUUUUACCACUUUCUUCAUUGCACCAUUUUCGUGAAAUCCCAAUCAUCAAUACCAGUAGGAUUUAGACAGUAAACAGAGAGUCCACUCAAUCACAAAGCCACUUUCAAAGGGCACUCAUAAACCUAGUCAGAUUCGAGCUCUCACUGGCAAAUGUAUGGUGGUUGUUUAUUCAUGGUCGGUUAUGGAGGGGCUUGAUUGUGACGACGUGGUGUUGGAAGGCGAAGUCAUCAUGGAUUCAGGCACGAUCAGCGGCGGAGCAGGGUUUCUCUCUGUUUCGGUUCGUGGCGACUCCGGCAACCAACGAUAAGCCUUGGAGUUUGCAGACGAAGGCCAUAGAUGGUGGUUGUCAGAUGGAAGCGAUGGAGUGCGAACCCCAACAUUGGGCAAGCGAUGGGGUCUCCGACGAUGUCAAGCCUAGUAGGAGACGUGGCGCGGUGGCUGGAUUCGAAGCAGUGGUGGCCGGCGGUGCUCAAGGGUGGAAACCCCAAUCCUAGGACAAAGCGAGAGAGGAAAGGGGGAGACAACGUUGUCGCCGGCCUUGGCUCUGGUGACACCCGUUGUCGCCGACGAUGUGGCGACUUAUGGAGGUGGUGGCCCGAUUUGGCAGAGGCAGUGUGUAUGUGGAUUCGAGGGAGGCAAACCCUUCCCUGGGUUGCCUGUCGCGAGAGAGAGACUCUAGGUCUCUGGUGUUGAGUGUGUGAAAUGAGAGAAUCUGAGAGGACCCCUAAAGGGGUUUCUCAAGUUAGGGUUGGGCCUAGGGUUUUAUUUUCGUUUUUUUUUUCUUUCUUUUCAUUUAGUUUUCCUUAAGUUAGUUAACUUCCUACACCCCUGUUUUCGUUCUCCUCACAUCCUAUUUGCCUGGGCUGAUGUUGAGCCCAUUCUAAAAAAAACAAUGUCUUCCUGCACCCCUUUUUUCGUUCUUCUCACACCCUUUCUGCCUAGGCCAACUCUGGGCCAAGUCAAAAAAAUGAAACUUUCCUUUCUGCACCCCCAUCUUUUAUUUAAACAUCACUACACGUUUUAUUUUAUUUCAUCAUUAAACUUUUCAUAUUAUCUUUAUUUUUACUCUUUAUUUCUAUGUAGUAAUUUACCUACUUAUCUCAUUUCUAUUUUUCUAUCGUUAUUUUCUUUUUAUUAAAAAUCAAAUAAAAAUAUUUUCAAAAGGUUUAAGCACACGUGCGACCGCUCGCGUAGGCCUUGUGCUGAAAAUCUUUUCC
rnacentral:lncRNA from 1 species